rnacentral:misc_RNA from 1 species
CCGAGUUUACAACUCCCAAACCCCUGUGAACAUACCACUUGUUGCCUCGGCGGAUCAGCCCGCUCCCGGUAAAACGGGACGGCCCGCCAGAGGACCCCUAACCUCUGUUUCUAUAUGUAACUUCUGAGUAAAACCAUAAAUAAAUCA